GCUUAGCCGUAAACAAAAACAGUGAAAAUACAACACUGUUCGCCAGAGAACUACAAGAAAAAACUCGAAACUCCAAGGACUUGGCGGUGCUCCACAUCACCCUAGAGGAGCCUGUCCUAUAAUCGAUACCCCACGAUCAACCUCACCAUUUUUUGAAGCUCAGCCUAUAUACCGCCGUCGCCAGCCUACCUUAUGAAAGACACAAAGUAGGCAAAACAGUCACCAACUAAAACGUCAGGUCAAGGUGUAGCAUAUAAAAUGGAAGAGAUGGGCUACACUCUCUAAUGCAGAGAAAACGAACAGCACAAUGAAAUAGGUGCUUAAAGGUGGAUUUAGUAGUAAGAUCGGACAAGAGAGUCCAUCUUAAAUUAGCCCUGGAGCGCGC
rnacentral:rRNA from 1 species